rnacentral:rRNA from 1 species
GACGAACGCUGGCGGCGUGCCUAACACAUGCAAGUCGAACGGAAAUGCCUUUCUGGAUGCGUACUCGAGGGGAAAACGGGUGAGUUACAUUUGGGCGUUCUCCCCCGCCCUGUGGGAUAAGCCUAGGAUUCUGCUUCUAAUGCCGACGAGGUGCAGAUGUAAGUGUGGUGGUUGGAGAGCUUGUUCGGAGUAGGAUGCGCUCGCGGCCGAUCAGCUAGUUGGUGGGGUAAUAGCUUCCCGAGGCGGCGAUGUGUAGCCGAGCUGAGAGGGAGAACGGCCACAGUGGGACUGAGACACGGCCCAGAGUCCGACGGGAGGCAGAAGUAGCGAAGGUAGGGAAAUGGGCGGAAGACUGAACAAGCGACGCAGCGUGAAUGAAGAAGGCCUGCGUGUUGUAAAACGCUGUUGUAGGGGUAGAAUGGGUGCGGUAGAAAAGAAGCUUGUCAUGACGGUACCUGAAGAAGAAGCACCGGCUAACUACGUG